AUUGAACGCUGGCGGAAUGCUUUACACAUGCAAGUCGAGCGGCAGCACGGGGGCAACCCUGGUGGCGAGCGGCGAACGGGUGAGUAAUACAUCGGAACAUGCCCAGUCGUGGGGGAUAACACUUCGAAAGAAGUGCUAAUACCGCAUACGUCCUGAGGGCGAAAGCGGGGGAUCUUCGGACCUCGCGCGAUUGGAGUGGCCGAUGUCAGAUUAGCUAGUUGGUGGGGUAAAGGCCUACCAAGGCAGCGAUCUGUAGCUGGUCGGAGAGGAUGGUCAGCCACACUGGGACUGAGACACGGCCCAGACUCCUACGGGAGGCAGCAGUGGGGAAUUUUGGACAAUGGGGGCAACCCUGAUCCAGCCAUUCCGCGUGAGUGAAGAAGGCCUUCGGGUUGUAAAGCUCUUUCGGCAGGAACGAAACGGCGAGCUCUAACAUAGCUUGCUAAUGACGGUACCUGAAGAAGAAGCACCGGCUAACUACGUGCCAGCCGCCGCAGUAAAAC
rnacentral:rRNA from 1 species